UUCUUCUCUAUUUCUUCUCCAUUUCUCUCCUCUGGUUUCCCCUUUUUUCCGGCGAAAAAAUCACUGUAAAACCCACCCACCCCACAAUGGCUACAAAUGAUGUAUCUAACGAUGUACCCAGUGUGAUUCUUGGAAGUUGUCGAUACAAAAAUCAACUUCACAUUAUUUCCAUAAAAAGUAAUUCGACAUUAAUGGAGAUAUAUGGUGCUAUUAUCAACAAAUGGAAUCAUAUCCAUCCAGAUGCACUGAUCCUCCAAUACUUGGCUCCUCGGGAAAGAUUGUAUGUGACAUUGGGCACUGAUGAAGAUGUGGAGAAUAUGGUUGCAUUGCAUCUGAUAAUGAAGAUGAGUGUGGUCGACAUUGUCGUGACCUGCAAAGAUGAAGCUAAUUCGCGUGGAAAGAGGGUUCGCACCGAUGGCUGGUAGGUCUCCAUCUUUUUCUGUACUGCUGAAAUGCAUUUCUUUAUGGUUGUUAAUUAUUGUGUGAUACAUAGUAUAAAAUAUGGCACAUAAUAGUAUCAUGCUAAUAUAAAUAUGGUAUGGACGUAUGAUACUUACAGUACGUAACCUUGAUCUGAGUAGUAUGGGUGAUAGGUAAAUUUGGUACUGCUGGUGGGAAAACAUAGUAUCAUAUAAUGAGGAAGAUAGUACGUUACCUUCAUCUGAAUAGUAUGGGUGAUAGGUAAAUUUGGUACUGUUAAUGGGAAAACAUAGUAUCAUAUAAUGGGGAAGAUAGUACGUAACCUUCAUCUGAAUAGUAUGGGUGAUAGGUAAACUUGGUACUAUUUGUGGGAAAACUUAGUAUUAUAUAAUGGAUAAGAUAGUAUGGAACCAGUGCAUUGUUAUGAUAUUUUCAUGUACAUUGUUAUUUGGAUUCCACUCUAUUGUAAUCCAUUUUUAAAAUUUUUUUGAAACCAAAAGCGGCGAUCAAUCGAUGGAAAUCGAGGGUAAUCCGCUUGGAAAUUCAAUUGAUGCAUGGAGACAUUGCAUCCGUGGGGAGAAUCAGUUUUUUAAAGAUCCUGAUGAUUUUAGGCAUAUGCUGAAAAACUAUUCUAUUGCUAAUAAUCGAUCAUUUAAGUACAUGAAAAAUGAUCAACAAAAGAUCAUAGCAGUAUGCAUUCACGAAAACUGCAAAUGGAGGGUUUAUGCAUCAUUGUACAAGUCAGAUAAGUUAUUUAGCAUUCGCAAGUGCAAUCUCGAGCACACUUGUGGUGAUGCUACUCUUCGUACAAGGGGUCAUCCUAAAGCCGAUGCUACAUGGAUUGCCCAAAUUAUGAAACGAAAAUUGAGAACGCAGCCAGCUUACACACCAUGUGGUAUGUUAGAAGAUAUCCGAGACGAUUAUGGUCUGGAGCUUCAGUACUACACAACAUGGAGGGGUAAAGAAAAAGCAAUGCGUGAUAUCCAUGGUGAUGAGACGACAUGUUAUGAUAAACUGAGACGCUAUUGUCGUGCAUUAAAAAUGCAUAACCCUGGUAGCAUGGCAGAGUAUGAGAUUGAACCUGCUACUCAAAAGUUUAUUCGAAUAUUUAUUAGUUUUGGGAGUUCUAUUUCCGGCUUUUAUCGGUGUAGGCCGAUGAUAUGUUUGGAUGGGACUCACAUUAAAAAUAAGUACAAAGGAUGCUUGCUUUCUGCUGUGUGCAAGGAUCCAAAUGAUUCCUUAUAUACAUUGGCAUACGCAGUUGUUGAUGCUGAGAAUGAUAAAAACUGGGAGUGGUUUUGCAUUAAACUGAAACAAAUUCUAGAUCUUCACAAUGACAAUAGAUCUUUUACCAUUUUCUCUGAUCGUCAUUCGGGGCUUCUUAAAGCCGUCCCGUUGGUAUUUCCUAGUAGCCACCAUGCAUAUUGUUUGCGACACUUGGUGGAUAACUUUAGAACUCAGGUAUUUUGUCACCUCAUGUCAUACUUUUGUAUAACAUGUUUCAUACUUUUGUAUAACAUGUUUCAUACAUUUGUGUAACAUGUGUCAUACUUUUGUAUAACACAUUUCAUACAUUUGUAUAGCAUGUUUCAUACAUUUGUAUAGCAUGUUUCAUACAUUUGUAUAACAUGUUUCAAAAUAAUAUAGGUCCUGAGGAAGUACCCAUUGCACAACAAGUCAUAUUGGGCGAGUGUUUUACAUAAUGCUGCAUAUGCUCCUACUCGGCAGGAGUUCGAUGCAACUAUUUCUCGUAUAGUGCAAUCUAUGCCUCUCGCGGCAUCAUUUAUUUCGAAUUCUGAUCCAAAUCAUUGGGCGAAUGCCUAUUUUUCUGGAGAAAGAUGGGGAAUCGUGAACAAUAAUCAGGCAGAAAAUUGGAAUGGUUGGGUUAAAGAUGCCCGAUCUUUGCCUGUUCCAUCCAUGAUUGAUCACAUACGGAUCAAAGUAAUGGAGAUGCUAGUUAAACGACAAGGAAAAAGUUUGGCAAUGACUGGCAUAUUGUGCAAGAAAAUUCUAAAGAGAUUAACAAUCAAUCAUAUGGCCUCUCGUUCCUUAAAAUAUUGUAGAUCAAGUAGUACCGCUUUUGAGGUAUAUGAAGAGGACAAGUCGUAUAAGGUUGACUUGCAGCACAAGACUUGUUCUUGUAAAGCAUGGCAAUUAGAGAAACUUCCAUGCAAACAUGCAUGUGCAUGUUUGGAGUCAAAAGGAUACUCAGUAUAUGAGUUUGUUGAUCCAUGCUUUCAUAUUGAUACGUACAAACAGGUAUAUCAAUUCACGAUUAACCCAAUUCCCUCGUUUGAUGAGGACUUUGACUUGUACGAUGCGUGUAAUGCUCCGCCCGAUGUCUUUGUUAAUGCACCUGAUUCGAGAACUCGACCGGGACGUAGAAAGACAAAAAGAAUUCCUUCACAAGUGCAAACUCGUAAACUGAAGUGUACUCGGUGUGGGAAGCCUGGACACAAUCGUCGUACUUGCACACAACCAAUCUGACUAGCAAUUUUUUUUAAUGGAGGACAAGAUGGAGGAGAGCUUACAUGAUUGCCCAUUAUGUUAUUCAAGUGAUUGAAGUGAAUGAAAACUGGCUGUUUGUACUUUAUUAUUAUGUGAUUUGCACUAUGUUGUUUUGAACUUUGUACUAUGUUUCAAUUUGCACUAUGUUUUUGCUAUUUGUAGUUUGUACUAUGUAUUAGGUACUCUGUUCAUUGAUGGUUUAUCAUUUUCAGUCUAAUGGUACUAUUUUUAUUUACACAUGGUAUUGGAUA